AGAGACUUAGGCUAACAUAAAACCAAGAGCCUUCAAAGCCCUAAAUGAGAGUGAAAAUCCCUCAGUCCCUG
rnacentral:tRNA from 1 species